rnacentral:lncRNA from 1 species
GCGGUACUGUUUUCCUUUUUUUCCCCCCCUGCCCCGUCUAGAGGUGAGAAAGGAAACUCUCCUCUUCUUCUGAAGAACCACAGCAGCAAACGCUCAGAGAGCACCUCCUCCAGUAUCGCUGCCAGAACCUGGCGCGCCAAAGGUGGCAGGCAGGCAGCCUUCCCUCCACAUUACAGGCCUCACAGCCACUUCCUCUUCAGUGACAGCCGGCAAUGGGGAGGAGGAGGAGGAGUGGAAGAAGCGGCGGCGCCGGGACUGGGGCGGCCAAAAUCCUUAAAACAAACUCCAGAAAAGCAGGUCCUUGGCGGAAAUCUUGAGGCUGCCUUCUAAAAGGCGGAAUUCUAAGAUGUGUAUUGACGGAGUCUUCAACCCACACAAAGUUUCCAUGAUGUCAGCAGGUUUAACAAGUUACAGAAGGUCCUCUAUCAGGAAGAGACUUAAUAGGUAAAUUUAGGGUAUGGGGGUGAGAGUAGAUAAGAGUGACAGUAUUAGGAACACAAGUUUGCAUAUAUUAAACAAGCAUACCAUCUGGAGGCUUUAUAUAGUAUUGGGUCUGAUGUGAUUGAUUUGGCCUUUACAUUUUUAAUAUAUCUUUCAGAUAUACAUGAAUAAAUUUAGACUCUACUAAAUGAUUGCUGGUGCU